CGGUACGCCCCAAAACCAUUGGGUUGGCAUAGGUUGAUGACUGGGUGAUAGUCUCCUAUCUUCUUCCUUACUACCAAACCGUUGCUGAGAUAAAUGGUUCUCCAAACGAUAGUCCGUCUGCCUGAGGUCCUCGCUCUUUCGUCCCUAACUUCAAUAGUUUGAAAUCCAUCUUUAAUCGGGCUGCUUUGCGGCAUUCUGUGCACCUGUCUGCCUUGCGUUCCCCAACUUACAUAUUGCCCUUUGCACCCAUUCCCUCACAUCGUGAGCUUCUAUAGGUGAGUCUUGUGUGGGGUCAGGUCCGCAAAGUAUAGAAUUUUUUCCCGGGCUGAUCAUAUCCAGUAUUUAACUCAUUUUGAGUCCUCCUCCUACACACUGAUCGGGACAUACAUAUCACCACGAGCUCCAUAGUGAGGACUAUCUUGUUCGGACAUAGAGGGCGUGGGCAUUCCAUCCUGAGCCGGUCUCGGAUUUCUUUUCCCAUAGGCCUCCUAAGCCAGAAGUGGGCCCGGUGCUCCAGUUAACCCCAUUCGGAUGACCCUGGUUGUCGGAUGGUGCGUGAGUCAAAACAGGAGUGUCCAGUGUGCCAAAGAAAAAACCUUUCUUGCUAGGAGUGUCUUGUCACUUUUACCUCUUCUGCCCUCCAUAAUUUCAUGAUCUCCAGAGAAGGGGGGGGGGAGGAUGAAGUCCUCGUCCCCUGAUGAUGGGUGUCCGACCUAACGUCGGUAUCUCAAUCUUCCAUUGGUGUUGCUGCCGUUGCACCCGCUCUGUCGGAUGGGUUGUUAGCCAGCAUACUGGAGAGGACUUCUUCCCCCGGAGCUGUCAUGGCAGCCUUAAUCCUCGCCUGAAAAUCGGUCGGAGAUAUUGAGGUAAGUCCGACAUGUUGGUUCACACCCUUUCGGUCCGUGGGAGACAGGAUCGUACAACAGUACACUUAUUGCCACUCAGUAGGCCUCCGCGUAUAACUGGGGGUCACCCAGAAUUUUGAUCAAUCAGUAUCAUUUUCGCAGGAUCCGGGGAGUGGUCUGAGAAUGAGGACACCCUCAGUAAGACCGGGAUGAGCGGUCUGCAAUGUCGGGACGUAGCCCAAGUCUGGGAGACGUGAAAGCCUCAAUAUAUAUAGUCCACGGGGUUCAUCCUUAUAUGGUCUAGAAUUGUGGGGUUUUGGC